GUGUGUGUUUGUGUGUUGUGUUUGUGUGUGUAGCACAACAUGUCAUGAUAUAAUUUGCUUCUGAUUUUAGGCUGUGAAAUGGUUUUUAUUAAAGAUGUAACCUACCAAGGCAAAAACAUUUCUG